AAUCCUAUAUUCAAUAAUGAUCCCAGACUGCAAAUUUGGGGGAGGUGAAAACCUAGGAUUU
rnacentral:tRNA from 1 species